GACGAACGCUGGCGGUGUGCUUAACACAUGCAAGUCGAGCGGAAAGGCCCCUUGGGGUACUCGAGCGGCGAACGGGUGAGUAACACGUGAGUAACCUGCCCUUAUCUUUGGGAUAACCCUCGGAAACGGGGGCUAAUACCGGAUAUGACAUUGCCGGGCAUCUGGUGGUGUGGAAAGUUUUUCGGAUAGGGAUGGGCGCGCGGCCUAUCAGCUUGUUGGUGGGGUGAUGGCCUACCAAGGCGACGACGGGUAGCCGGCCUGAGAGGGCGAACGGCCACACGUGGACUGAGACACGGCCCGGACUCCUACGGAAGGCAGCAGUGGGGAAUAUUGCGCAAUGGGCGGAAGCCUGACGCAGCGACGCCGCGUGAGGGAUGACGGCCUUCGGGUUGUAAACCUCUUUCACCCAUGACGAAGCGUAAGUGACGGUAGUGGGAGAAGAAGCACCGGCCAACUACGUGCCAGCCGCCGCCGUAAUAC
rnacentral:rRNA from 1 species